UAUGGCCAUAUCACAUUGAAACAUUGGUUCUUGUAUGAUCACUGAAGUUAAGCAAUAUCAAGCUUGGGCAGUACCUAGAUGAGUGACCACUUGUAAAUACCAGGUGGUG